rnacentral:rRNA from 1 species
GAGUAAGAGCAUUUAUGUUAGGACCCGAAAGAUGGUGAACUAUGCCUGAGUAGGGCAAAGUCAGAGGAAACUCUGAUGGAGGCUCGAAGGGGUUCUGACGUGCAAAUCGAUCUUCAAACUUGGGUAUAGGGGCGAAAGACUAAUCGAACCAUCUAGUAGCUGGUUCCCUCCGAAGUUUCCCUCAGGAUAGCUGGAACUUAUUGUGAAGUAGUUUUAUCAGGUAAAGCGAAUGAUUAGAGGCUUUGGGGAAGAAACUUCCUCGACCUAUUCUCAAACUUUAAAUAGGUAAGAUUUGAAGGAUACUUAAGUGAUCUUUCAAUCUCUUGAAUAUAAAGUUCUUAGUGGGCCUAUUUUUGGUUAAGCUAGAACUUGGCGAUGUGGGAUGAACCGAACGUUAAGUUAAAGU